rnacentral:lncRNA from 1 species
AUCACGAUUAAAAUACUUGGUUGCUAAAGCAACGAUGGUACACAUUACAGUUGACACAAAACAACAAGACUGUCCUUAACAUAAGUACGUACUAAAUUACUAAUUCAAGAUAGAUAUAUAAUUUGAUUUGGAAGUGCAUGGAGAAAUGAAUCGUAGAGUAUUCAUGCACACGUACGUCUUCAAGGCAAUCCACCCCCAAGCCCACCGCCAGCACCAGCUCCUCCACCGAAACCUCCCCCAGCUCCUCCUCCAAGUCCUCCUCCACCACCACCACCGAAUCCUCCUCCGCCACCUCCUCCAG